GGGGGCACAUGCGGCAGCUACUACAUGCAGUCGAACGAAGAUUCAGUCUUUCGUGAUUGACGAGAGAGUAACAUGGAUGCAUCUACCCUUUGCCCCGAACUUCUCCAUUAAAAUUGUGCUAAUACUGCCAUAAUUCUUUCCGGAUGACGCUUUGUGUUCCCUUGGAAGAGCCGGCACUUAGAUAUCUUGUUGGCUGGGUAAUGGCCUACACUAACUUUGAGUCGUAGCUGAUUCCCACACGAAGAGCGACUCCUUUGGGACCGAAAAGGAGCCCCCACUCCUAUGGCACUGAGAUACGGGGAAUAUUGCUCCAUGAAGGAAACUCUGAUGCUACUGUGCCGCGUGAGUGAACAAGGCCUUUGCGUUGUAAAGCUCUUUCGACGGCGAACAGAAUGACUGUACCCUAAUAACAAGGUCCAGCUAACUUCUGGCCGGCAAAUUGCCGGUACCUGAUGAAUCUACACCAGCUAACUCCUAGUGAGCUUACACAGUUCUAAGGAGGUUGAAAAAGUUGUCGGUAAAUUCUCAGAUCUUAGCUCUGGAACUGCCAUCUUUACUUUUCAGCUAAAGUUUGACAGAUCAAACCAAAAUUUCUAGUGUAUACUUGAAAUUCUGAGAUAUUAAAAAGAAUAUCGAUUGCGAAGGCGUCUUUCUGGAUCAUUACUGACACUGAGGAACGACAGCAUGUCUAUUGAAUAUUAUUCUAUACCCCCGUAUUCCAUGCCGUAGACGAUGUGUGUUACACGUUGGAAAUUU
rnacentral:rRNA from 1 species